AUUGAACGCUGGCGGCAUGCUUUACACAUGCAAGUCGAACGGCAGCGGGGGCUUCGGCCCGCCGGCGAGUGGCGAACGGGUGAGUAAUGCAUCGGAACGUGCCCAGUCGUGGGGGAUAACACAUCGAAAGAUGUGCUAAUACCGCAUACGUCCUGAGGGAGAAAGCGGGGGAUCUUCGGACCUCGCGCGAUUGGAGCGGCCGAUGUCGGAUUAGCUAGUUGGUGGGGUAAAAGCCCACCAAGGCGACGAUCCGUAGCGGGUCUGAGAGGAUGAUCCGCCACACUGGGACUGAGACACGGCCCAGACUCCUACGGGAGGCAGCAGUGGGGAAUUUUGGACAAUGGGGGCAACCCUGAUCCAGCCAUGCCGCGUGAGUG
rnacentral:rRNA from 1 species